UUGCGAUGAUGACUUCUUAGGACACCUUUGGAUUCAUGAUGAAAAGAAUUUUCAGAUCCUGAGCAAC